rnacentral:rRNA from 1 species
GUACACGCUGUGACUAGCAUAUCAAUAAGCGGAGGAAAAGAAACUAACAAGGAUUCCCCUAGUAACGGCGAGUGAAGCGGGAAGAGCUCAAAUUUGAAAUCUUAAAGGGUUUCCCUUUACGAAUUGUAGUUUAAAGAAGUGUUUUCUGUUGAGGUUUUGGUAAAAGUUCUUUGGAAUAGGACAUCAUAGAGGGUGAGAAUCCCGUAUUUGACCUUUACUUUCAACUUUGUGAUACACUUUCAAAGAGUCGGAUUGUUUGGGAAUGCAGUCCAAAAUGGGUGGUAAAUUUCAUCUAAAGCUAAAUAUUGGCGAGAGACCGAUAGCGAACAAGUACCGUGAGGGAAAGAUGAAAAGAACUUUGAAAAGAGAGUUAAACAGUACGUGAAAUUGUCAAGAGGGAAGCGUUUGACACCAGUGUUGUUUUUCUGAAAAUCAAUUAAAGAACUGUUUAUGCUAAGCUGUUUAGACUUUAUCAGCUAUCUGUUUAGUUUUGAGCUUUUCUUUAAUGCACUUUUCAGUUAACAAGUCAACAUCAAUUUCUUUUGCUGUAAAAAAGCUUGAGGAAGGUGGCUUGAGAUUCGUCUUAAGUGUUUAUAGCCUCUUGCCUAUGCAGUCGGAGAGAUUGAGGUCUGCAGCGUAGAUCCUUCGGGGCUAAAUGCAUUUGUGCUAAGUUAUAGCAUUUUAUAGACAACUUGUUGACUAUGAUUUGUCUUGUAGCUUACUCGCUUAUGUUAUUUUACCUACGCUUAGGAUGUUGACUGAUAUGUAGUCGUA